UCCAGCCUGGAUGACAGAGCAAGACUCCAUCUCAAUAAAUAGGCUCAGCAAACUCCCGAGUUCCUGUGCUGCUGAAGAAGGCAUUGAGCAGAAUACAGAAAGACUGGGUAUAGCUUGGGUUUGAGAUGAAACACCAGCAAUGGAAGAUUCGCUCUGUUGUCUAUCAGCUUGCAUACUUUGAUGAAACAAGCUUCCAUGUUGAAGAGGACCAAGUGGAAGUGAAUUGAGG